AGUGAACGCUGGCGGUAGGCCUAACACAUGCAAGUCGAACGGCAGCACAGUAAGAGCUUGCUCUUACGGGUGGCGAGUGGCGGACGUGUGAGGAAUACAUCGGAAUCUACUUUUUCGUGGGGGAUAACGUAGGGAAACUUACGCUAAUACCGCAUACGACCUACGGGUGAAAGCAGGGGAUCUUCGGACCUUGCGCGAUUGAAUGAGCCGAUGUCGGAUUAGCUAGUUGGCGGGGUAAAGGCCCACCAAGGCGACGAUCCGUAGCUGGUCUGAGAGGAUGAUCAGCCACACGGGAACUGAGACACGGUCCAGACUCCUACGGGAGGCAGCAGUGGGGAAUAUUGGACAAUGGGCGCAAGCCUGAUCCAGCCAUACCGCGUGGGUGAAGAAGGCCUUCGGGUUGUAAAGCCCUUUUGUUGGGAAAGAAAAGCAGCAGGUUAAUACCCCGCUGUUCUGACGGUACCCAAAGAAUAAGCACCGGCUAACUUCGUG
rnacentral:rRNA from 1 species